UUUGUUUGAAGGCUGAGCAGAUGGGGAUAGCUGCUGGGUUUGGAGGAUGUGGAGAAAUUUGGAAAAGUAUUGACCUGGGAGAGCUAAAGAGAGGCUUUUAAGAUCAAGUUACCAUCGCCAAAAGUAUCAGCAACAUAGAACUCCAAUUCCUGGACUAUCGAAGCCACUCGGAAAGUUUUGAAAUAUCUGGUCUGGGUAUUCUAAUCUUGGAAGAGUAAGAAAAGAGUGAGAGGAAAGAAGCUCUUAUGCAACUCUACAGCAUCUGAAGUCUGAGGUCAAUUCCAUCAUACUUCCUUUGGGCGCAGGAAUCUUACCAUUAUGGAGUCCAGAACAGUGGGAUUUUGGCAUCAUAGGCAUGCUUGAGAAAACAACGUGCCCUAUUGCAUUUUAAGAAACUCUGAUUUUGGUUUAUCUUUUGCUAGUAACUUAAAACUGCUGAUAUUGAGGCUGAGAUUCUGCUGCUUGGUAGAGAGCCAUUGAUGCUGAUUUUUUUUAAAGGAAUGGAAAGGUUUAACCACAUACAUAAUACCCAUAGCUUAACUAAAAUCCUAGCUUUUGUUGGACGUACUUUUAGGCAAAUAAUAACCAGUGUUUUCUUUUGAAAAAUGCAGUAUUGCACAGCGGUCAGUGGUUAGUAUUUACCAGCAACAUAGCUAGUUAUUGUCUGUGAAAGCUCAGGGUUUUGUGUGUUGAAUAUUAUAACAACAAGCUCUUAGCACUUUGCUGCUUCCAGCAAGAAUAGCUCACUAAUUCAGUUUAGUAAAAUACUGCGAUACUUUUAGUGCCAAUAAUGAGAUCUGGGGACUUUCAGAAACAACAAUUACGGUGUAUCAUUUCUGCUGCCCCCACGGCAAAGCCUUUAGGCAUUGAAACAGUUUUGAGAAAUGAAUAUAUACUAUUGCUAAUGUUGGCUUUCAUUUAUCUAGUGAACCUUUUUCUUAUUUGCUGUUUUACUGAGUUUCUGUUGUUCAGCCAACACAAGCCUCUUUUUUUUUUUUUUUUUUACAGAGAAGAGAGAGGAAAAUACACGACUUGGGUAAGAUGUGCCUGGUUAUAUCUGAAAAAGACUGAUAUGAAGUCUCAAAAAGUUUGCUUUCUUAGGUAUUCCCUGGAGAGAAGUGGUUCCGAGGGAGAGUGACCAAGUCUUCAACUACAAUGCUCUAGCAAUGACAGUCCCCUGCAAUGGCAAUUGGGCACAGCUGAGAAGGGCACCUACCCUACUGCACAGUGACCUGAGAACCCUGAAGUAAUUCCUCUUUUUAUUUCUGAAUCACCCUGCUCACACCAAGGUUUUUGUCUGCUGUGGACUCUUGAUCCCAUUUGGGCCAGUGCAUUAUGGGUGAACUAGCCUGAAGAAGUGCUCAAUGUCAGAAAUCUGUGAAGUCCACCAUGAUUUUCUUUUCAGAAGGCGGAUUUUCAGAGAUGCUAUUAGCACUAAGAUCAGUGCUUUCUUUCCCUCCGCUGAUACUUGAGAAGCUUUGUUUUACUGUGGAUAAUGAAACCGUAAUGCUGGGCUCCGUAAUUGCAGACAAAUGUGGUUCAGACUUGUGUUGGGGGCCUGUAGGUGAUGACUGAACACAUUUUUGCUGAAAGCUCGAUUACAAUAAAUCUCAAGGGAGCUGCGUGUCU
ensembl:lncRNA